AAAGGAUAUGGAGUCGAAGCAAGUUUGGCACAACAUCCAAGUGUGAUUAUAUUACCAACAAUAUUUCUGAAGUUUUUAACUCUUGGAUUGGUGCGGUGCGCUACAAACUAGUGCUUUAUCUCCUUGAUUCCAUUAGAGGGAAGCUUAUGAGGCAAUUCCAAAAGAAAAAGCAGAUUGUCAACAAUCGGAAUGGUACACUGGUUCCUAAGGCUAAGUAUUAUCUCAACAAUAUUUUUAAGAAUUUGGGUGAAUAUGAAGUUUGUAGAAGCUCGGGAAAUCGAGCUGAAGUGGAGUAUAAGGGAAAACGAUGAGAUGUUGUACUAGACGAGAGAACGUGUAGUUGUCGGGUUUGGCAAGUUAAAGGGCUUCCAUGUGUGCAUGCAGCGACGUUCAUUGCUUUCAUAAGGGAUUCUAAUUGGGGAAAAUACGUCGAUCCUUAUUUCACAAUCGAGUCAUUCAAAAAGGCAUACGCACUAGAAAUCUCUCCUAUGCCCGCAAAGGAUCAAUGGAUACACAUGGAAUCGGGCGAGAAAAUAUAUCCACCCAAGAUUAAACGCCCAGCUGGAAGACCUAAAAAGAAUAGAAUCCUGCAGUAUGACGAGUGCCAAAAGAAACAAAAAUGUCUACGAUGUGGUCAAUAUGGACAUCAUCAAAAGAGAUGCAAGAAUAUGGCUAAUCAAGUUUCUGAUCCAUCUCAAACUUCUACCAGCAAAAGGGGAGGUGGAAAGAAAAGAAAAACAACAAGCAAUUGUUCAAUAUCGGGUUCAAGAUGAAAAAGUUUCCGAACAAGAAGUCUUAUUUGUUUGAUUAAGUUGUUUAUAACAUUCUGGUUUUUAUGGGCACUUUGUUUGUUAUGUUGUUUACAAAACGAUUUUUAUGUUUUCUUUUUGGUCACAUGGGGUGGCUUAUGCAA